rnacentral:snRNA from 1 species
GUGCUCGCUUUGGGAGCUCAUAGGGUAAAACUGGGUAGAUACAGAGAAGAUUAGCGUGGCCUCUGUGCAAGGAUGAUGCACAAAUUCCCCCUGCUUUCUCCUUUU